CCUACGGGAGGCAGCAGUGGGGAAUAUUGCACAAUGGGGGAAACCCUGAUGCAGCGACGCCGCGUGAGUGAGGAAGUAAUUCGGUAUGUAAAGCUCUAUCAGCAGGGAAGAAAAUGACGGUACCUGAGUAAGAAGCCCCGGCUAACCACGUGCCAGCAGCCGCGGUAAUACGUAGGGGGCAAGCGUUAUCCGGAUUUACUGGGUGUAAAGGGAGCGUAGACGGCAGUGCAAGUCUGGAGUGAAAGGCGGGGGCUCAACCCCCGGACUGCUCUGGAAACUGGACGGCUGGAGUGCAGGAGAGGUAAGCGGAAUGCCUAGUGUAGCGGUGAAAUGCGUAGAUAUUAGGAGGAACACCAGUGGCGAAGGCGGCUUACUGGACUGUAACUGACGUUGAGGCUCGAAAGCGUGGGGAGCAAACAGGAUUAGAUACCCUGGUAGUC
rnacentral:rRNA from 1 species